UUUACUGGCAGUAACUUUAUGUACACAUAUAUCACAAUCGGAUUGCAAAUCUUUUAGAGUUUUGCUGUAGCUUCCACCUUUAUGUUGACGUUUAGACCUCGCGGCAAAUUCAGCAUGCCAGAACUCUUGCCUCACUUGUAUCAUCCUCACAUUCUGCAGCACAUUGUCAAAGCAUACAUGCAAAUGUAUGUAUACAUAUACACACCACUUUUCGUUACAUAUGGAAUGUGCUUAUGCAUACAAUAAAAAGCAUACUCGUAUGUAGUGUUGCUAUUCAACUCAUUACAAACCCGGGAAUGCAUACGCAAAAUAUGGAACAGGCGCGAUCACAACCACAAACCGGCGAUUAAUCUUGGGAUAUUGCGCUCCUAAGUCAUUGAUAUUUCAUAACAAUCGUAGAUCUCAUUCUUUAUCACUGCAUUUUAAAUAUCUCAACUCUUUGGCGUUAUACGUAUUCAUUUUUUAGCAUUACAGAGAGCUACUUCCCAGCAAAAAACACGAUUACCACAGAAACGAAAGUGGAAACGAGCUAGGCGAUGGGAAUCGCUUACCCUUUCGCUUCAAGAAGGCCUUAUUUUAACAUGGGCAUGUCAUUGGCGGUAAGCCCUUACCCGCAGCAUUACCUUAAAACGAAGGGAGAACGCAUGGAUAAACAGAAUCCAGAGAAGCGAACAAAG